GUAGAAGACCUGGAGGCGGGUGCGCGCAAUCUGUAUCACCACGCGCGGUGAUAUUUCUCAGGGACUGCGGCGGUGGCGAGCACUGAAUUCCUCUCACGCAAAGCCCACGGAUGUUGACUUAACACUCUCUCUUGCCUUCUUUUACUCCUGAUAGUCUCUCUGUUGGACGGUCGAUAAGCGUUCGCAUGAAUUAAAGAUUUUUCCUCUAAUUAUGCGAUCGAGAACAACUUUUGCUUGCAUCUUUUGAGACUGCCGCGCGUCGAGAAUUUAAUCAUAUUCUGUGUGAACGACGGUUGACCAUCAUCAUGUUGUUAAAUGCUACGGGAUGUGUACCGGUUUGCCGUGUGGGAAUGAGUUGGAGUGGCAUAUUUUAGGUCAUUUGCGCCAUGGAGCCAAAUCUGAAGCGAUAAUGUUAUUCGGGCUGUAAUAGUGAUCGGACCACAGGUAAAAGUGUUUGUGGAGUGGAUGCUGACAGACUGAAGCUGCGCGGUUACCGCAGGGAUUAAACGCGAGCGGAAUCAAGAGCGCGCAGCUGAUAUGGGUUCUGUUGUGUGUGACAAGAGAUUAGCGGGCCUCAUCUUUCUCCAAGCCUCCUCCCUCUUGCUGUUGGGUUCUGGUGAAAGGAUGUGCCCCUAUAGCUGCAGCUGCGAGGGAAAGAUCGUCCAUUGUGAGUCAGCCGGCUUCCAGGACGUCCCAGAAAAUAUUUCUAUCAGUUGCCAAGGUCUCUCCCUACGCUACAAUGACCUGCACACAAUGCUCCCCUAUCAGUUUGCCCAUCUUAACCAGCUACUCUGGCUGUACCUGGACCACAAUCAAAUCGCAUUUGUGGAUAGCCGUGCUUUCCAGGGUCUGCGACGGUUGAAGGAAUUGAUCUUGAGCUCUAAUAGGAUAUCACAGCUUCAUAACAUCACUUUUCACGGAGCGCCUAACCUCCGAAGUCUCGAUCUCUCUUAUAACAAGUUGCAGGAGCUGCAGCCAGGCCAGUUUUUUGGUCUUCGAAAACUGCAAAAUCUGCACUUGCGUUCCAACGGGCUCACCACAAUACCGGUCCGGGCCUUUUUAGAGUGCAGGAGCUUGGAGUUUCUGGACUUGGGUUAUAAUCGGCUUCGCGUUGUCACUCGCACCGCGUUUUUGGGGUUAUCUCGACUCAUGGAACUCCACCUGGAGCACAACCAGUUUUCGCGAAUCAAUUUCUUUCUCUUUCCUCGUCUUGUUAAUCUUCGUGCCCUUUAUCUACAAUGGAACCGCAUUCGAGCUGUAAAUCAAGGCCUUCCGUGGAGCUGGUACACCUUGCAGAAACUUGACGUCUCUGGCAAUGAGAUACAGACACUAGAUCCGGUAGUAUUUCAGUGCCUACCUAAUCUUCAGGUUCUCAACUUGGAGUCUAACAAACUGGCUAAUGUGUCUCAGCAAGUUGUGGCCGCCUGGAUUUCCCUAACAACUAUUAGCCUUGCAGGUAACAUGUGGGACUGUGGGCCAGGCAUUUGUCCUCUCGUCGUCUGGCUCAAGAAUUUUAGAGGCACUAAGGACACUAGCAUAAUCUGCAGCAGUCCCAAGCAACUUCAAGGGGAAAAGGUUAUGGAAGCUACAAAAAACUACAUUGACUGUGAUGAUUAUGAAAUUACUGCUCAAUCACCGCUGUAUCUCCAUACCUUUGAACCAAAUUUUGAGCUUACCUAUGAACCAGAUGAACCAACAAUGGAUCCUUCAACAUCCCCUCCACCCCUGCCUUCACCUGCAUCCGAGGCACCCAUACUUCCUCAACUCCCCACCUUUCCCAGCCGUACAAAUACACAUCCCAGAGACCCCCACUGGACAUCCUCAUCUUCCAAUAGCUUAUUAGUGACACCAGCUCCUGAUCAGGACGUGUCUUUCCACAAAGUGGUGAUGGGAGGUGUGGGACUGUUUCUCUGCGUGUCACUUGUGUUGUCAGUCAUUUACAUCUCCUGGAAACGUUACCCCGGUGCCACCAGGCUAUUGCAGCAGAGUUCAGUUGUGGGUCGAAAGCGAAGGAAAAAGAGUCAGGAGCCAGAACAGAACCUGAGCUCCCAGCUCCAGGAAUAUUACAUGAGCUACAACCCUGCAGCCACACCAGAAGCCAUGGAGGUGCUGGGCAAUGGGACAGGUACCUGCACCUGCACCAUAUCCGGCUCCAGGGAAUGUGAGGUAUGACAUGUGAAAGGCAGCCUAAAAUCAAAUCAGAUCAAAACAAAUGAACGGCUCAGGACAUAGAGAAUGAAUACACCUGUCCUAGACCAUUACCAGGGACUUGGAUCGGAGACUUGCCCACCAUACACUAAAGGAAACGUUUUGUUCAGCACGAAAUAAUCCACCUUUUUACCUACCGACGUUUUAUCAAUCACAUCGACUUUUGCUCCCAUAAUGCCACUCACGUUGUCACCGCUUUGAGAUCUGGAUAUAUAUUCGAAUCAGACAUCCGAAAAUGGAUUCAGUACAGCUGGACGAUUUUUCAGAUCCAUAUUUUAUUAAAAGAUUGUUUCGUUCAUUUGGAUGGCCUACUUUGUACUUUAAUUCACAAACUCUCAAAAACUGUGAUGAGGACUUCAGAUAGGCCGUAUGAAACAGGGUCAUAUUGCUUGAAUGACGAGCAGUGGAUCAUACCAAUGAAAGUUAUCCAGCCUUUGAUUAACUACCCAGCGCCAAUGAACUGAACUUUACAUAAACUGUGCGACGGAUCCACAGUCUUUGUUGAUAUACCCUCAGAUUAAAACCCAUCCUUUGUUAUUUAAUGUAAAUUUGUGUAUCAGAAUAACUCAUAAUAAAAACGACUUUGAUUUCAAACUCUUA